CGGGCACCUUGACGUCAAUUUGACAUCAACAAAUAGUCAAGAUUUUGACCACCAUGUAUGACGUGCAUGAAUAUGCAUAUUUUCAUUAUAUUUUGUAAUUAUUUCCUUCUGGUUGUAAAGAGACCCAACAAAGGUAUCAAACUGACAUGUUUUUUGUGGUCCCUAUAUCUCAGGUCAAUAUCAUUGACAUUAAAUUGAUGUUGAUUUGAUGUCAGGAAAUAAGAUGUCAAAUUGACGUUAAAUUUAUGUCAAAACAAUGUCUGAAAAAGUAUAUUUAUUAUUCAUUGUAAAUCAAUGCGACUCAUGUUUAACAUCUUGAAAGUUGUAAUGGGGAGAGUUAAAAAUGUAAUAAACACGUGCAAAUAAACUAUUAUUGUUUUUUAUUAUUAUUAUUAUAUUUUCAUCACAGUGUCUAAAAUAUAACAUUUUAAAUAUAAAUUUGAAGAAUACCAUUAAUAAUAAAAUAACAUCAAGACGUUUAUAUGUUUCAUUCAUACAAGUCAGUUUGGAAUGUUUGAUCCUGACAAAAAAGAAGCGAGGAAAUCUCGCGAGAUUACACGAUACUGGAGAGUUUAACGGCUGUCUGCGUGAUCAUCGAGAGUGCAUCGAGAGCCCUUCAAAUUAAACAUAGUGAUGGUGAUCUUGUCAAUGCUGAGAUUUUAAUGCAUCAACAGCCAUUACAUCUGUCUGGAUCAGAUUGAACAAGAAACAGACAGCAAGGGUUGUCAGGUCAGAAACGUGAUGACACACAAACAUAAGAAACUUCACAGGCGGCAAUUUCUUUUUCCACCGGUGGGUGCUCAUCACAACCUCCAGCUUUACUGGACGCCAGGUGCUCUGGAGCGCUCAAAAGCUUUGAAGAGGUGGAAAGCAGUGCAGUCAUGUUUUCGUGUGAUUUUAGAUGCGAAUUGUAAAGUUAAAGGCAGAUCACUGUGCAACUUGGUGAAGUCACGUGUCUUUCCAGAUGCCAAAAUUUGUACCCCUCAAAAAGACUUUAUUAUAUGCCAUGAUAGCCAAGAUGAGCCUGAAGAGGAGAUUUGGGAAGAUGCUGUUUCAUAAGUCUUUGUUUUGCAAGAUUAUCUGUGGUAAGUUUGUAAAAUGUGUAUUAAAAAUAGGACAAGAACAUCUCCUAAUCAAACAUUUUUGAUCAGGUAGCGGUGUCUGCCAACGUGAUGCCUUGCUGGUCUGGUUUGAGUUUGAAGUCUCUCACAGACAGUCCAGAAGGUCUGGAGUCCAUCUUAGCUUUCAUUGAUGCUGUCAUCAUAUUGUUAGUGCAUGAGCCAGAAUGGAUGGGUGGUGGUGGCCAUAAGAAGACUGUCAACUAAACCAACAACAAAAUUCAUAUUUGCAGUAAUAAAUAAAAUGACUUUUAAACAUG